rnacentral:rRNA from 1 species
UACGUAGGUGGCAAGCGUUGUCCGGAUUUACUGGGCGUAAAGAGCGCGCAGGCGGUCGUGCAAGUCGCGUGUGAAAGCCCCCGGCUCAACUGGGGAGGGUCACGCGAUACUGCUCGACUUGAAGGCAGGAGAGGGAAGUGGAAUUCCCGGUGUAGUGGUGAAAUGCCUAGAUAUCGGGAGGAACACCAGUGGCGAAGGCGACUACCUGGCCUGUUAUUGACGCUGAGGCGCGAAAGCUAGGGUAGCAAACGGG